GGUUUCCGUAGGUGAACCUGCGGAGGAUCAUUAUCGAGUUUUGAAUGGGUUGUCUGCUGGCUCGCAAGGGCAUGUGCACGCCUGUCUCAUCCACUCUCAACUUCUGUGCACUUUUCAUAGGCCGGCUUGUGGGUGCGUUCGCGCACUUGUAGGUGUCGGGCUUAUGCUUUACUACAAACGAUUCAGUUUUAGAAUGUCAUACUUUGCUAUAACGCAAUUAUAUACAACUUUCAGCAACGGAUCUCUUGGCUCUCGCAUCGAUGAAGAACGCAGCGAAAUGCGAUAAGUAAUGUGAAUUGCAGAAUUCAGUGAAUCAUCGAAUCUUUGAACGCACCUUGCGCUCCUUGGUAUUCCGAGGAGCAUGCCUGUUUGAGUCUCAUGGAAUUCUCAACCUUCAGCUUUAUUGAUGAAGGCUUGGACUUGGAGGUCGUGCCGGCUCUCGUAGUCGGCUCCUCUGAAAUGCAUUAGUGCGAACGUUACCAGCCGCUUCAGCGUGAUAAUUAUCUGCGUUGCUGUGGAGGGUAUUCUAGUGUUCACGCUUCUAACCGUCUUCGGACAAAUUUCUGAACUCUGAGCUCAAAAUCAGGUAGGACUACCCGCUGAACUUAAGCAUAUC
rnacentral:rRNA from 1 species